AAUGGUGUUCUUGUCCAAGAAGAAUUUGUUGUAGUCGACUAGCAAAAUUUAAUUUGAAUAAAAUAAAAAAUAAAAAAAUAAAAAUCAAUCAUUUUGCCUAUCGAUUUAGUGUUAAUAUCAUGUGCAACGUUUUCUAUCAGUAUAAUAAAUGAUGUUAACAAAAUAAAAUAAAUUAUUUUACUUUCAUAAAUCCCCGUCUAAAUGUCUGAAGUACAUAUAUGGCAGUCUUAAAAAGGUCAAUGAUCCCACCCGAUGUCAUAAUUACGAAUCCCCUCUCCAUCUCAGACGAUAAAUUGGCCCUCCCCCAAGAUAUCAAGCAAUUCCCGCGAUCGAGCGCUUCUCCUCUUCAGCCAUUUUUAGCGUUCUGGACUUCCCCUAGGGUUUCCUUCUUCCACCCUCCUCUUCAGAAGGAUGAUCUAGAUCCAGGAGCACUUCGAGAAUUUUUAUCAGGGUAUUUUUGAGGAGCUAAGCAAGUUCAGAAAAAUUGAAAGCCUAAAUGUUUGUGACAAUCUGGCUGAUCAUUUGGUUGGUAAUGUAUAUGCUAAAUUCAGGGAUGAGGAUGAUGCUGCAAAUAUACUAGUCAACCUGAAAGGAAGAUAUUAUGAUGGUGGUUUAAUAUUUAGGACAUCCUAUUAUUGUUGAUUUCUCCCCCAUUAUGGAUUUCCGUGAAGCUACAUGUAGGCAACACAAGGAUAAUGCGUGUAACUGAGGUGGAUUCUGCAAUUUUAUUCACUUAAAACAAAUUAGCUGGGAGUUGAGGCAGAAAUUAUUUGAAAGAUAUAGAAGGCAGAAAAGAAGCCGAAGUCCUUAUGGCUGCCACAACCAUGGAGACUAUCACCAAGGUGGUGGCAGCCGCCACAGUGAAAGGGAUCAGUACUAUGAAGGGCAAGGCUGAGGGCCUCGAACCAUGUUCACAAGAGGAACCACAACAGAAGCCCUGUCACAGAAGGAAGUGCCGAGUGGAGGGCUAGAAUUGAACAGUGGAACAGGGAAAGGGAGCAGGCAGAUGAUGCUAGGAAGAACACUGAGUCCAUCCAGAGUGGUCGGCCGCAUCAUGACCAGCAUCAGCAGGAUAAAGAUGAAGAGGGUCAUCAACCUCUAUGGUUUUCUGGUGGUGUACAGGUCCAAAGUCCUGUUCAGUGGAAUAUAAAACCUAAUUUCUUCGGAGAAAUUGAAAACACAGACUGCUGUUUGCCUGCAUCAUUUGCUUUUAAUUUGAUUAAACAUUGCUUUUUAGUUAUUUUGCAAUUACAGGGAAUAAUCAGGAUCAUAUUCAUCAUUUAUGCAUAUUCUACAUAUGUUUCCUGUUUAGCCAUACUUAGGAUCAUAUUCAUCAUUCUAUUUUAGCAGCAUUUGUUAUGAUCCAAACAAGGACCUACAGCCCUGUAUAAAGUAAAUGCAUGAUCAAAAACCAACUUCAAGUGUCGAGGUAAGAAAACGAGUUCGCAUAAAUAUUUGGCUUCUAGUUUUUUUUUUUUGACACAAAAAGAAAUCAUCCUCAAGCAGGACACUGGAAUAAUCAAUGGACAUGCAUGUUUAUGGAAACUUCUGCCACUUUGACUGGUUUCUCUUUACAUUUCAGAUUCACUCAGCUUAUCUUUUUUCACAAGUUUUGCAGGUCCAGGUAUUCCUGUGCAUUCUGCGCAUCAAUCUAGUCUCUUUGUUGUUUAUAUGAACUCUAUUUAUAGGACAGGGGCCUACCCGAUCGGUGAACUGCAUCAGUGGAGGGGCGUGUGAAGGGAGCUCCUCAGUUUCAGUUGGAGAUGUUCUUUGUUUCUUUUCCAGAAUGCAGGGAGUCGCUUUUUGACUUUUGUUGCAGGAGAAUGAUUUCUGGUUUUAAUCUGAUGUUAAAACUAGAGGUACUUGCUAUACUUUGUCUAGGGCUUGGUUUCUUUCGAGUAUUAAAUGUGUUGGACAAAGUUUCAUAUACCAUCUAGAAACAGUUAAUAGAAAUAUUUUGGUGCGUCA